GCACUCACUGGUGUGAUGAU
rnacentral:siRNA from 1 species